rnacentral:rRNA from 1 species
AGAGUUUGAUCAUGGCUCAGAUUGAACGCUGGCGGCGUGCUUAACACAUGCAAGUCGAACGCGAAAGGGACUUCGGUCCUGAGUAAAGUGGCGCACGGGUGAGUAACACGUGGAUAAUCUGCCCCUAUGAUCGGGAUAACAGUCGGAAACGGCUGCUAAUACCGGAUACGCUCAAAAUGAACUUUUUGAGGAAAGGUGACCUCUGCUUGCAUGUUACCGUAUAGGGAUGAGUCCGCGUCCCAUUAGCUUGUUGGUGGGGUAAAGGCCUACCAAGGCAACGAUGGGUAGCCGAUUUGAGAGGAUGAUCGGCCACACUGGGACUGAAACACGGCCCAGACUCCUACGGGAGGCAGCAGUGGGGAAUAUUGCGCAAUGGGCGAAAGCCUGACGCAGCGACGCCGCGUGAGGGGAUGAAAGGUUUUCGGAUCGUAAACCUCUGUCAGAAGGGAAGAAACCGCACUGUGCUAAUCAGCAGUGGUCUUGACGGUACCUUCAAAGGAAGCACCGGCUAACUCCGUGCCAGCAGCCGCGGUAAUUACGGAGGGGUGCAAGCGUUAAUCGGAAUUACUGGGCGUAAAGCGCACGUAGGCUGCUUUUGUAAGGUCAAGGGGUGAAAUCCCACGGGCUCAACCGUGGGAACUGCCCUUUGAUACUGCUUA